rnacentral:precursor_RNA from 15 species
CUCCUGACAUGCCCUCCAUCCAUAGGCCCCAGUUGUACAGAUAUCACAUUUUAUAAUUAAUGAUAAAAAGUCAUGUCAUGUACAACUGGGGCAUUUGGUGACGAACUUCAUGAGACUAC